AUGGCCAGCUAUCCGUAAGAGCAGGGCUGCCCAGGAGCUGCAGGACAAGUGCCAGGAGCACCUCCGGGUAGCUGCUACCCUGGACCCCCCAAAUAGUGGAGGGCAGUAUGGCAGCAGGCUACCCCCAGUGGUGGUUAUGGGAGUCCUGCGCCUGGAGGACCUUAUGGACCAUCAGCUGGAGGGCCCUGCGGACAACCCAAUCCUGGGAUGUUUCCCUCUGGAACUCCAAGAGGACCACAUGGCAGUGUAGCUCCAGGGGACCCCUAUGGUCAGCCACCUCCAAAUUCCUAUGGUGCCCAGCAGCUUGGGUCUUAUGGGCAGGGUGGCGCCCCUCCCAAUGUGGAUCCUAAGGCCUGCUCCCGGUUCCAGUCAGUGGAGUCUGAUCACAGUGGCUCUCUCUCCAUGAAGGAGGUGAAACAGGCCCUGGUCAACUUCAAUUGGUCCUCAUUCAAUGAUGAGACCUGCCUUAUGAAGAUAAACAUUUUUGACAAGGCCAAGUCUGGCUGCAUCGAUGUCUACGGCUUCUCGGCCCUGUGGAAAUUCAUCCAGCAGUGGAAGACGCUCUUCCAGCAGUAUAACAGGGACCACUCAGGCUCCAUUAGCUACAGAACUGCAGCAAGCUCUGUCCCAAAUGGGCUACAACCCCAGUUCACCCAGUUUCUGGUCUCCUGCUACUGCUCACACUGCCAAUCCUCCCAUGCAGCUUGACUGCUUUAUCCAGGUGUGCACUCAGCUCCAGGUGCUGAUGGAGGCCUUUCGGGAGAAGGACACAGCUACACAAGGCAACACUCAGCUCAGCUUUGAGGACUUUGUCACCAUGACAGCUUCUCGGAUGCUAUGACCCAACCCAUCUGUGGAGAAUGCACCAGGGACCUUUCCUGGCUUCUUAAGAGUGAGAAGCAUGUGUACCUCUCUUCUUUCCCUGUCCCUCUAGAAGAACAUUCUCCCUUGCUUGAUGCAACACCGUUCUAAAAGAGGAUUGAGAGUCUUGCAUCAUAGCCACCAAACAGUAAGGACCAGAGCUGAGGCCACACAGGUAGGGUCCUGAUGGAGGAAAGGAUGGAAGUUGAAUGUCCUGAUGGCCAUAAGCAAUUGAGUGGCACAGCCUGGCACGAGGAGCAGGAGAUACUGGUCCUUGUAACGGAGUUAGUGUCCAGUCAGCUGAGCUCCACCCUCAUGCCAGUGGCGAGUGUUCAUCGGCCUGUUACUGUUAGCACCUGUGCUCCUUCACCAGGCCAUCCUGACACAUGAACCCAUUUUCUCCCAAGUGGAAUCUGACCAAGCAUGAGAGACCAUGGGACCAGCGGCUUGGAUUCCACCACACCCAUAAAUCCUUAUGUGUUAACUUCUAGCUGCCUGGGGCUGUCCCUGCUCAGGGAGCUCAGCCAAAUCUGCUCCCCAGGCAUCUUUGGCCAGGCUACUGCCCUCCGCAGCUGAGACCCCUCACUUGCCUGCCAGGCUCUGCUUGGCUUCAGAUUCCAGGGGACAGUGGUCACCUCUCCCUGCCAAUACAAUACUCUUUUUAGUUUGCAUUUUUUUUCAUUUGGGGCCAAAACUCCAGUGAAAUUCUAAGUUUCAAUAAAAGGAUCAAACUC